GAGUAGGAUAGCAGUCAAAGGAUUGGGACAGGGCCCCGACGUACUCGUCAAUAGUAUAUGUACGCAUCCCAAAAUCUCGUAACUCCGGAGGAAGUGGAUCUUACAAACCAAGCUGAACUUCAAACAACUAGAAAAAAUCCUAGUCUACUUGUCGACCAAUACCUGCAGGCAUGAUUGCAGUGCCCAAGGCUCUGGGUAUCAGUACGAAAUAAUGUAUCGAGUAUUUAAGGCAACACAUGAACAAAAACAACAUAAUUGAAUUGAAAUAAAGAAUGCAAAGAUGCUAGGAACUAGUAGCUUGCCUACCUGCCCUGACUCAUUUUACGUUUUAAUAACGUUAAUAACAAAUCAAGCCCCAAAUGUUUUGUUUUCAGAUUACCACAAUAAUUCAGACCAUAGUACAUACCAAUAUGAAACACAAUGGGAUGCGAUGUGGUGCAUGCGAACACCC
rnacentral:lncRNA from 1 species